UUUGUUUCAAACACGUGACGAGAAAAUUAUUUAUUUAAAAACUUAAUAUAUAAAAAUUUGAUUGCUUUAAUUUCAAUUUGCCUUUUGACUACUUUAAUUCAAUUUAAUUUAAUCUACUUAUAUAUGGAUACAACUAAAAUCCAGAGGCAAUAACUGUGAUCUCGUUUUUUUGGGGUCUAAUCUUGGUUUCUUGCUCACGUAUCAUGUCGCUACCAGCGAAAAGAAUAUAUGUGAGUUAUUAUUAAUACCGUUAAUCUGCUCUCUCUCUCUCUCUCUUACUUUUCUCUUUCUGGCGAACUUGUAAACCCAACCAGUAAUUUCCGGCGGAACUCUGGCGCAGGUAAGGAUCUCUCUUCUCUCUCUCCCCUCUCCCCUCUCUCCUCUCUCCUAUUCUUCGCAGUUCCCUUCCCUUCUCUCUGCUACACUGCCGCUUCUUUCUUUUCUUGAACGCACAGCGGGUGUCCUCUCUUUCCCCAACUUCAUUCCCUCCCCUCUCAUUAUGCGUGUGUGUGUGUGUGGUGUGUUUGUGAACACGUUUUCCGAUCAGAUUUCCAGCGCUGACUACGAGCGUCGGCCGUCAGGCAGGUUUUCGGUGAGCAGUUAGACGCUGCAGUUGGAGGUCAGAUUUCCGGCGGAUAUCUUGGCUCAAGGCGACAUUCUACCAGGGUCUAGUCGAUUUGGCAGUCCGUCUACAAUCCAGGUUUCGUCGCUCUUGUUUACUUUUAUCGGGAGUUGGCACCUCUUAUUCUUCAAUUAGUAUUUCUAUUUUCCUUGUUGUUAACCAAUUAGUUUGGGAUAGAUUAAGCCUAAUUCUUGAUUGCCUACUUGUACUCUUAAUUAGUGCAUUUGCCUGUCUACUUUCUUGAUAGUAACUGUUUUGGGAUUUCUAGUUUGUAAUUUUGAUUCCUAUUUUCUUUGCGGCUGGCUUUUUUAUAUAUCUAUUUUUAUCGCUAGUUUAAUUCUUGCUUGUUUGUUUUCUUAUCUGUACGCAUAAUUAGUGGUUAGAGCUUAAGUAUUAGACUUGCCUCUUUUAGUUUAAUCCUUUGCCUGUUUGAGCGCCAGUUCUAGCAUAAUUUUCCUUAGAUUAUAGUGGCUGGAGUGAGUGAUGGUAGAAUAAAGUCAUGUCCUCGGGUGGGGUGCGGGUGGCGAGGGGCGGGGGAAGGUGGCAAGGGAACCUCUAAACUGAGAGUUGGGUCCUGGAACGUAGGUACUCUGACGGGGAAGUCAAUAAAGUUAGCGAAGAUCCUCCAGACGAGGAAGAUCAAUAUAGCUUGUGUCCAGGAGACUAGAUGGAUGGGUUAUAAGGCUCGAGAUGCUAAUGGGUAUAAAUUGUGGUACUUAGGGCGCGUGAGGGGUAAAAAUGGGGUAGGCAUCUUGGUUGACAUGGAUCUUAGGGAGCUAGUGGCAGAAGUUAGGAGAGUGAACGAUAGGCUGAUGGCUAUUAAGCUGGUUGUGGGAGGGUCUACUUUAAACGUGAUUAGUGCUUACGCGCCUCAAGGGGGUUUGGACGAGGAGAUUAAGAGGCAUUCCUGGGAAGACCUUGACGGGUUGGUCUGUGGCAUUCCGCACACCGAGAAGUUAUUCAUAGGAGGAGAUUUCAAUUGUCACAUUGGGGCGACCUCUAGGGGUUAUGACGAUGUACAUGGCGGCUUUGGUUUUGGAGUUAGGAACGGAGGUGGUACUUCGUUGUUGGACUGUGCUAAAGCCUUAGAUUUGGUGAUUGCUUACUCGUGUUUUCCAAAGAAGGAAGAGCACUUGGUCACCUUCAAGAAUUCAUUAGCCAAGACUCAAAUUGAUUAUCUACUCCUCCGGAAGGGUGAUAAGGGUCUUUGCAUGGAUUGCAAGGUUAUACCGAGCGAGAACCUCACGACUCAGCAUAGGUUAUUGGUGAUGGACUUAGAGAUCGUGAGGAAGAAGAAGAAGCGGUCUGGUAUGGUCAGCCUAGGAUGAGGUGGGGUGCCUUGACUAAUGACAAAGCCUAGGAGUUGGGGGAGGGGGGGAGGGGAGGAAGUUAUUGGCUAUGGGAGCCUGGAAGAGCAGUGGGGAUGCGAGUUGUAUGUGGACCACGACAGCGAAAUGUAUUAGAGUAGCUGCGAGAGAGGUGUUAGGGGUCUCGAACUGUUUCUCUGGCGGCCGCAAAGGUGACUGGUGGUGGAGUGAAGGGGUACAAGAGAAAGUGGAGGCCAAGAAAGCAGCGUACUUGAAGUUUAUAGAGAGCAUGGACGAGGAGGCGAAGAGGACGAACAGGGAGGGUUAUAAGAAGACUAAGAAAGAGGCGAAGUUAGCGGUUACUGCGGCUAAGACUGCGGCGUAUGGGCGUUUGUAUGAGGAGUUUGGGGCCAAAGGCGGGGACAAGAAGUUAUACAGGCUAGCCAAGGUGAGGGAGAGGAAGGCCCGUGAUCUAGAUCAAGUGAAGUGCAUCAAAGAUGAGGAAGGUAGAGUUUUGAUCGAAGAGGCUCAGAUUAGGCGAAGGUGGCAGACAUACUUCCAUAAACUCCUAAAUGAAGAGGGUGAUAGGAACAUUGUGCUGGGCGAUUUGGAGCACUCCGAGAUUCGCCGGGAUUUCGGGUAUUGUAGGCGCAUAAGAGUAGAGGAGGUUGAGGGGGUUAUGCGCAAGAUACACAGGGGUAGAGCAACCGGGCCAGACGAAUUCCCUGUGGAAUUUUGGAAGAAUGCAGGUAGGGCAGGUUUGGAGUGGCUCACUAGGUUGUUCAACGUCAUUUUUAGGACGAAGAAGGUGCCCGAAGAAUGGAGGUAGAGUACGAUGAUUUCGGUGUAUAAGAACAAGGGUGACAUCUAAAGUUGCAAUAAUUAUAGGGGGAUUAAGCUGCUGAGUCAUACGAUAAAAGUUUGGGAGAUGGUGGUUGAAGCGAGGGUGAGGAGCAAUGUGUCCAUUUCUGAGAACCGGUUCGGUUUCAUGCGGGGACGUUCGACUAUGGAAGCCAUUCACCUUGUGAGGAGAUUGGUGGAGCGGUAUAGGGAGAUGAAAAAGAAUUUGCAUAUGGUGUUCAUUGACCUAAAAAAAGCUUAUGACAAAGUCUCAAGAGAGGUGCGCUUUGGAGAUGUUUGGAGGCUAAAGGGGUCCCAGUAGCCUAUAUUAGGGUGAUUAAGGACAUGUAUGAUGGAGCCAAAACUCGGGUUAGGACAGCGGAAGGAGACUCAAAACACUUUCCGGUUGUGAUGGGGUUGCACCAGGGAUCAACUCUUAGCCCAUUUCUAUUUUCCUUGGCAAUGGAUGCAUUGACGCGACACAUUCAAGGAGAGGUGCCAUGGUGUAUGUUAUUUGUUGAUGACAUUGUUCUUAUUGACAAGACGCGGGGUGGUGUUAACGAGAGGCUGAAGGUCUAGAGGCAGACCCUUGAGUCUAAGGGCUUCAAGUUAAGCAGGACCAAGACGGAAUACUUGGAGUGUAAGUUCAACAACGUUAUCCAGGAAGCUGAUAUGGAGGUGAGGCUUGAUAUACAAGUCAUCACCAAGAGAGAUAGUUUCAAGUAUCUUGGAUCUAUAAUACAAGGUAACAGGGAGAUUGAUAAGGAUGUCACGCACCGUAUCGGAGCAGGAUGGAUGAAGUGGAAGCUCGCUUCCGAUGUCUUGUGUGAUAAGAAUGUGCCGCUGAGACUUAAAGGCAAGUUCUACAAGGUUGUAGUUAAACCGACUAUGCUGUAUGGAGCAGAGUGUUGGCCUGUUAAAAAUCCUCAUAUCCAGAAGAUAAAAGUAGCUGAGAUGAGGAUGUUAAGGUGGAUGUGUGGGCAUACCAGGUUGGAUAAGAUUAGGAAUGAAGUUAUUCGGGAUAAGGUGGGAGUAGCCCCUGUGGAGAAUAAGAUGCGGGAAGCGAGGUUGAGAUGGUUCGGGCAUGUUAAGAAGAGAAGUAUAGAAGCCCCGGUCAGAAGGUGCGAGAGGUUAGCCUCAAUAGGUAUUAUGAGGGGUAGAGGAAGGCCUAAUAAGUCUUGGGGAGAGGUUAUUAGGCGGGAUAUGACGCAGCUGGAGCUGACUGAGGACAUGGCCCUAGAUAGGAGGGUGUGGAGGUCGAAGAUUAGGGUAGAAGGCUAGUAGGUAGUCGAGCGUUUCUCUUUGUUUUACUCAGUUCGCUAGCAUUAGUGUUAGUAUGAUAUCCUUCUACUCAUUGGCUUUUACUACCUAUAGUUUAACUGCUUUCUUGACUUCGGUAUUUUUUAUUUUGUUGUUAUUCCUACUUGUUGCCACCUUUUUCCCUUAUCUUCUUCCAUCCGUUCUCUAGCCGACGGUCUAUCAGAAACAACCUCUCUGCCCUUCCAGGGUAGGGGUAAGGCUGCGUACAUCUUACCCUCCCCAAACCCCACUUGUGAAAAAUUACUAGGCUUAUUGUUGUUGUUAUAUAUGGAUACAACUCCUCAAUUUUAAAACCAAACACUUAAGGGCCCGUUUGGACAUACAAUUUGGUUGAAGAUUUUUCCAAAAAAAUUUCACUUUUUUUCGAAAUCAGCGUUUGUUCAUAAAAUUUUAAAUUUUCACUUAAGAUGUAUUUUGGAAAUUUUCGAAAAUUUGAAAAACCGCAAAAAGCUAUUUUUCAAAAUUUUCACUCACAAAACUUCAAAAACAACCCAAACUUAAAUUUAUGUCCAAACACAACUCAAAAUUUCAAAUACCAUUUUCACUUGAAAAUAUUUUUCACCAUUUUUUCGAAUUUUACAAUUCUUAUGUCCAAACGCCUACUAAGUCCUUACAUAAUAGAAAUCAUAUGCCCCAUAUAUUUGUGUAAUAUUUCCAUUAUACUUGGGGUUAAGUACUUAUUUGAAAUGCAGGAGUGUGCCCACAUAUACAUCGGAUAACAGAUAGAUGAAUGUCAAGAAUAAUUUACUUUAAUAAACAUAAUUCUCAUGUUAGCAAAAUAUUCUCAAAAAACAAUUCUCAUAUUAGCUAAAUCAAAAAGAAAAUGCAAGAUAAUUAUAAUAGGCAAAAAGACGUAUUCCACAUACUACAUCCAAAUAUCAAAUAACUGCAAUAUAAUUAGCAGCAUAAUUAUCACAUUACAUGCAUGGCUGAAAAAUAGCACAAUACUGAAAUGUGAUAGAAAGAAAUAAAAUCAGAAUAGCAAUUUCAGAAAAUUGAAUAAAAAGAUUCGUUAUACAGAACCAGAAUGAGAAAAAAAAGGAAGAAGAAUGGUGUGGACGAGAAUUACCUCCACCAAUUUGGAGCACGUCUCAGUCGCCGCAGCAGUAGGAGGCAGGCAAGCAGCUUCUUCGUCCCUCCCAAAAUGCGUCAGGGUUGGGAUAGUUUUUUCGAUUUUUUUUUUUUUUAUCGGAUGUCCCCGAAGGAACAAAUUUCGAUUUUUUAUUAACUUUCUUUUUUCAAACACGCAGAAAACAUUUCCUUUUGAGUUAUAGCUUUGUUUUGCUUUUUAUGUUUGUUAUAUUCUUUUGUUUGAAUUAUUCCCUAGCAAGUUCAAUUUUUUUUUUUUAGCAAAUAUACCACUAAGUUGUGUGCUUAGUGGUAUUUUUUAUUAAUAAUAAUCAAAACAAAAAUAACAAAAUACAAAGUGUCAGGAGGUCUCACAAAGUGUAAAUGAGUGAAAUAUGAAAGUACAUCAAUCCUAUUAUCAAAGUUGAGGAGUCACGCCUGGACUCCUCAACUUUGAUAGUACAAAAAGAACUAUGAAGCAUAUUCCUUAGAGGAGUCACGCCUGGACUUGAACAUGUAUAACCAUUGCUUUCCAAGCUUUUAUAGCAUAUUUUGUAACUCUACACUUCUGAUUCUGGGCAUAAACCUUUGGAAUCCUGAGUAUAUGGUAGGUCCAGAUGAUACCUAAAACAGUACUCCACUCUUGACAAAGCCAAUUUUGUAACUAAAUUACACGCAAUUAAGUACAUCGUUACUGUCCAAGUCAAGGCAUUGGUGAUGUAGUUGUGACUUUGCCUUAGGGUUUUGCACUUGUAUCUGUCCUCUCUCAUUACAUACCUGCCAAAACUAUCAUCCUCAUGUGUGAAGAUGAAUAAUAUACCUGGCAUUUCCUCCGAAUGAUGCUCAACUGGCCCGUAACAUGUUGGGAACUCCCAUGGUUUAAAGUGUCCAGCCUUGACAUUAGCACAGUAAUACGCGUGUCCACAGCCCUUGUGUUGUCAUGUGGCCUGCCAGUAUUACCUUGUAUGACCUCUAGGAAGCAGCAGAUGUAAUGGAAGGUGCAUCUUCUAGUAUAGUACUUCCCAUCUUCACCAAACUGUAAUUCUAUAAUGCUUCAGUUUGGUUGGCUCAUGUACAACCUUCACCCUGUCUUGUUAAGUAAGUAUUUGGGCUGGUUUAUGUAGUGCCUACACCUACAGGGAAUGAGUAUCAAAGAUACUAAUACCAACCUAAUAGGCUUGGCCAACACAUAGAACCAAGCACCAUCUAAAGUACCUGCAAAACAAGAAACUAUGUUAGUGGAAAAAUUUUCCUACUCUCCUCACAAUAGAUUCGAGUAGAAAGAGCAGUGAGAUAUCCUUCCCCUAAGACCUUCCCAUAACCUCCAGUAUACAUCCUCAUCAACCUCCUUACUACCCAGAAACUCCCUAUCGACUUCAGUUCGUUGGAAUGCAUCAUCAUUUGGAGUUUGGCUUGCCAGUUCUUACCCUAAUAUAGGGUAUCUGUAGCUUGUCAUUGUUCAAUAUCUUCCUCCUUUGUAUGUCUAGUUCCUCAAACGAAUGUACUUGUACCAAUGCAUGUUGUUCGAGUGUCAAGUUAGCUAAAUGAUCUGCUAACUUGUUGCCCUCCCUCAGUACAUGAAUUACUUGAAGCACUCCUCUAGACAAUAGUGUUUUAAUUUCCUCUACUUAUUGGCUAUGCUACAGGGUGGUUCCCAGACUUCCUCCAGUAUUCUCUUCAUCAGCAAGGAAUCUGUUUCAAUUUGACAUGGAGGGAACUGCUAUUGAGUUAUGUAUCUGAGAGCUUCAAGGAUAACUUGUGCUUCAGCUAUGGAGUUUAUUGCAUCAACAAUUGAGUCUGCCUGAGCAUAUAUAAGGUUACCUAUUACAUCUCUUAUGCAGAAUGCAUACGAAGCUCCUCUAUUGUCUCCUUUGCAAGCACCAUCAAUAUUGCAUUUGAUCCAGCCCACAUGAGGUAAAUGCAAUAACACCUUAGUAUACUUUAGUUUAGGGACAUGAUGCAGUAACUUCUCAUGAAGAUCUGGCCAAUUUGCAGUAACUCCCUUGAAGUUUGACCUCCUUACCUUUAAGAGUAUUUGUAUUGAGGUUGAAAUCAGAAAGAUCAGCAUGUUAAUAGACACAUUCUUCCCAUGCAUUCCUGAAUUUCUCCUCUUUCAUAGGUGCCACACAAUUAGACUUGGCAUAGCAUGAUACACUACCUUCAAACUUGUGUUAACUGGCCUACUCCACCAUUCAUUUAUGACUUGUGCUAACUGUUUCCCUGCUUUUUUAAUCCCUGCAGGUGCACCAAAGUAGUCCCAAACAUAUCUGGCAACUGGAGACUUCAAAAAGACAUGAGGCAGUGUUUUCUUCUUAGGAUUUCUACAGUACCAACACCUUGAAGUUCUAAAGUAUCCCAUCCUUAAGAACCAGUCAUCUAGUGGCAACUUUGUUUUCCUUAACCUCCACAUAAAGAAACUAACUUUGAAUGGUAAGCCUUUUACCCAAACGAAUUUGUAUAGCCUGUUUUCUUCCCUUCUUCUCCUUGUGUAUUGCCAUACAAAUUUCAUUGUGAAGUGGCCUUUUGAUUCCAGUUCCACCAUGGUUUGUCCUUCACAAGAUAGUCUGCAAGUGAUGUGAUGUUCUCCAGUAUAUGGUCAGCUAUAUCAUCAGGCAACAACUCCCCCAACAACACAUCAUUCCAUGCUCCAUUCUUCACCACUUCAUCAACGUACCUUAUGGAUUCAUCAGACCAAUGGUCUGCCCCUGAAGCAUGGUAAAGAGCUUCAAGUCCAGUCCAAUUGUCAUACCAGAAGAAAGAGUUUCCACUCUUAAAUUGCCACCACACCUUUGGUUGGAAUUCUUUUUUCUGUGAAUUGAUCUUGAAAAAAGUCCACUGCCUCCCUAGCUAUUUCACCUGUGUUUCAAUCCAAUUGCCAUUGUUAUAAAAUAUUCUGGAUACCUGCAACCUUUUCCUUUUGCCUUUGACAUGAGCAUGAAAGAAUUUUGUAUUUCUAUCCCCAUCCUUGAACCACUGCAUACCAGCCUUUUGCCUCCAAAUUUCUUCUUCUAAGUGAUAGAACCUUGUAAGAUCAGCCUCAACCUUAUGCAGCUUAGCUUUAUUUUGAGUUGUUGGAUUUAGUUCAAACUCCACCUCAUAUACCUUAAUGGUAUCUUUUAGUGUUGUAAUUUGUUUAAAUAUGUCUCCAAAAGUCUCCUUGCUCCAACCUGCUAGUGCUUUCUUUACAUUUUUUAGCUUGUUUUAAAACAUAAUACAUGGAUUCCCCACACUAUCAGUUGACAAAUUCUCCUUCACCACAUUCAGGAAAGUAUCAUGCUUUCUCCAAAAAUUUAGAAACUUGAAAGGUUUCUUAACCUAGACAGUGUCAAUGUUACAAGAUAACAAGAUAGGGACAUGAUCGGAACCAUAUUUAAUCAAAUGCUCAACUUCGGUACUGGGAAAAGAUCCUGAAAUUGUUGAUUAGCCAAUAAUUUGUCAAGCCUCUUGAAAAUGCAAUCAUCAUCAGACCUCUCAUUCCAUGUAUAUAGACUCCUUUUGAAGCCCAAAUCAUACAAUGCACAUGUAUCAACACAUUGUGCAAAGUCUUCUACUUCACUUAGGUAUACUAGACGUCCACCAUACUUCUCUUUUUCAGAUAAGAUAACAUUAAAAUCACCCCUACAAGCCAUGGUGAUUCCAUAUCUGAGGCUAAAUAGUACAUAGAUGCCCACAAUUCAAUCCUCUCUAUGGCAUCACAUUUAGCAUACACUAGUGUAAUAAUGAUCUCCAUACUCAAAUUUCUAUGAAACAACCUUAAAGUCAUUUAUUGCUCCAUAUCCAUCAUAAUGUCAACGUCUAUUUCCUCAUCUACAAAAGCCCAUAUCUUACCAUUCAUAUUUGCAAAGGCAUAAUGGAUCUUAGCCUUCUUCUAUACUUCUCCAGCUUAUUGGUAUCUUGCCAAGGCUCCAUCAAACCAAUGAGAUAAAAAUUGUACUUCAUAUGUAGAUUAAUUAAUUUUUGGAAAGCUUUUUGUGUGUUCACAAACCUCACAUUCCAUACUAAUGCAUUAUCUAUAAGAUCACUUGGAAGUUGAGAGCCCACUCCUCUUUGGUUGUACCCUCAUAGGGACAAUCUUCUCUUCGUGUUUCUUUGAUUGUUUCCCAGUAGAUUUCUUUUUAUCAACACUCCUAGGUGACAUGUCGCCAGCCCUAACUGCUUAUUGAAAGUUGGCAGCAGUAAAUUCUUCCUCAAUAUCCUCGCCUAUUUCCUCUUGCUCACCUUUAUCAUUGUCAACCACAUGGAGAACCAUAAGAUUUGGCUCAUGUCUCUUAGCUAUCAUUCCCAACUCCUUUUGGCCCCUGUGAUUGAUAAGCAUACCUUUUGCCAAUAUGCCACUAGUAACACUAAAUAUUUUUCAAGCUAGAAUCCCAGGAUAAUCUACUGCCAACCCUGUAGUUUGGAUUGCCUUGUUGUUUGUGUUUGACUGCCCAGCUUCAGAAUCACAAGCUAUUAUUGCUAGGUCAAUUUGAUCAUGUGAUUGACUUGUAGCCUCCUUCAAUACUAAUGCAUUCUUCUCCAUAGUCCCCAAUGCCUCCUGCAUCACCCUAAAUUGAAGAUCAUAGACUGAUCCUAAUGUAGGGUUUACUGUAGCACUUGUUGCAAACACUGUUCCAUUGGUUUCCAUCUCCUUUCCUUCAGCUAUGUGAUGAUCUGACUUCACUGUAUCCUCUAAUACCUUAGUACUAGCCUUCUCAACAUGAUCACCACUCAAAAUUUCCAGCGGAGCACCUCCAGCAUCAUUUACAACCUAUGCAACCUACCUAGGAAUUACUAUUACAUUAGAUUUCUUCUUAAAUGAAGCUCCACCUGUUGAUUCUCCAGCAGUCUUAGCUUGUUUAUGAUAUCUUUGAGUCUCUUUAGCUGAUGGUGUACCAUGUUUCUUAUUCAAUUCUUUAGAAUCUUCAACCCUAGAUUUCUGGGUACUAGGUUUUAAUGUAGCAGGAGUAAUUAGGUCAACUGUUUUUCCCCGCACUCUUCCAGUUUGCACAUACAGUCUUGUACUGUUUUCUUCAUUGUUUUCCUCCCUAUUCUCAACUUCAUCACUCCAUAAUUGAUAUCCAGAUGUUGCUUCAUAGUCAGCUGCAUUCAGUUUGGUGGAUUCUUCUAACGUUUGUGAGGGAAUUUCAUGGCAUGAAUGAUUAAUUGUCACAUUGAGUUGCCUCAAUUAUUCUUUGUUUGUACCAAACCUUCUAUGUACCUAUUCAAUGGUCGACUCUUUUUUGUUAGCUUCCUCAAUCCCAGAAAUAGUAGGAUUAGGAUUCUUUUCUUUGGUCGCACUUGUGCUCCCACCCUUCUUUGGACUAGAAGUCCCAGUAGCACUAGGAUUUGACUUGUUUCCCUUGUUUGGAUCAGCUUCAUCAUUGUUCAGUACCUUCUGCACUGCCUCCUUCUUUAUCUAUAUUGCUUCCUCAAUUUCUCCUUCCUCCAAUAAUGCAAAUUUGUUCUUUGUUUGAAUUGGAUCCUUGGUUUUCUGCUCCAUAUUCUUAGUCUCCUUUACAGUAACCUCUUUUCUCUUCUUCUCCUCUUCCUUCCCAGCAUGAUCCUUCUUUGGCCUACUGUCCUUGACCUCCAUCCACCUACCAUUAGGAUAACCAACUAUUUUUCCACUCGUUAGCAUUCUAAUUGUUGGCUUAAUAUUAUUUAGUUGCACCUGAUUCUUAUCAGUAGCAUCACUUUGAACUUGUGCCUCUGAUUGAGUUUCCACAGCUAGUAUAAGAUUUGGAUAUAGUCUUCUACAUUCCUCUUCAUUGUGACCUUGAAGCCUGCAUUCCUUACAAUAUUUGGGAAUAUAGUCACAUUGCACCUUCACCCAUUCAGUUCUAAUCGUCCAGUUGUCUCAUUCUCAAUGUCCAUCUUUACCUUUUUAGGCAAUUUAGAUAGUAAGUCUACUUGUAUUUUGACUCUAGCACAACUAGGUCUAGUUUUGUUGAUCGUGGCCAUAUCAAGAUGCAAUAUUUUACCAACUGCUGAGGCUAAUGAGAAUAAAUACUCCUUUACAAAGUAAGUUGGUAAUAAAUUAGGGAACGAAAUCCAAGCCAUUGCUAUAGGUGUUUCCUCACCAACUUUGAAUUUAGCAUCAUAGAUUAAAGGCCUCAUCUGAUAUGGGUAAGCUCUCUUUGAUGUAAGCAUGAUCAACACAUGCCUAUCUCUAAGAAAACCAACAUUGCACUCACAUUUUAUCCCAUAUUGAUUAGGUAUCAACUUACGCAGCUCCUGCAAUUCUGGCCAUCCAUACGAAAAUUUGCCAAUGAUAGCAUAUUGCAAUCCUUCAAUGAUAUUCAUGCGAGUAACUUCUGCUUCUGUCCAUUUGAUUAAUGGCUGCCCAUGUAGGAAAGUAACAGAUUUUAUGGGGAUAGGGGCAACAGUGAUCAUAUUAGGUUUUACGUGCAUGAUCGUAUUUAAUGCACUAGGUUUGAGAAUAUGCGUGUAAUCUAAUGGUUGAGGAAUGAUUGGAGUAUUUCUAGAGGAUGGUGUACGGUUGUUAAGGGGCUGACCAGCCGGUAACACAGGCUGGCUGCCGGCCGGCGAGGCCAUGAGAGAGCUCACGAAUAUUUUGCCCAGUCUUCGCAAAAUCGCCUAUCGCUAGAGCUCUAGGGAAAAAUGAUGUAGUAUCCACAUGUUUCUUCUUUCUAUGAGUUUUUUUAUAGUAUUUAUUUUAGGAGAAUAGGUUCUGGUAAGGCACAUAGAGAAAUUAAGGUCUCAUUCACUUUUAUUAACAUUGAGACGUUUGCAUUUGAACGCAUAAUGAAGACUCUUUAUUCUUAAUAUUUUGUGGAUAUAUUCAUUUUAAAAUUAAUAAAAAUUAAAUUAAAAAUCAACGAAUAUAAUAUCCACAAAAUAUUAGUGAAAAUAUAAAUUACAAGUUGGUGUAUAAAUUCUUUCUUUGAUGAACUACACUCUAAAAACUAGUGAUGGCAGCGACAAUGGUAGUGGUGAUAUGUGAUGAUAGCUUUAAAGGUAAUGAUUGGUGGUGAUCAUGAUUAUAUGGAGGAAAUUGGCAAUAGUAGUUAUGUAGUGGCGAUCAAUGGUGAUUGUAUCUCAGUGACCAUAGGUGAUGAAUGUGUGAAAUUUAUUGAUGGUGGAAGAUGGAGGCAGAUGCCGACAAUGGUUAUUAUACGGUAUAAAUUAACGGUAAAAGUAGUUGGUGGUGGUAGUGCUGAAGGUAGUUGGUGGUGACAAUUGUAUGGUGAAGUUUGGUGGUAGAGGAAUUUGAUAAUGAUGACUAAUGUUGAAGGUAGUUGGUGAUGAUGGUACUUGUAUGGUAAAGGAUGGUGGUAGUUGUGGCUCAUGGUAGAUUUAAUUGGUAGUUGUGAUUCACGGCUGUGGAGGAAAAUGGUGGUGACAAGUUAUGGAGAUGGUUGGUGGUAAAAAUGGCUGAUGAAGGUAGUAGUUGACUGUGAUAAAAAUAGAAAAGUAGCAAAAUGCUACAUUCAAAGGAAUUUUUAAGUAAAUAAUGAAUUUAUGACUAGAAAAUCUGAAUGACCCAGGCUUAUUAAGAGCUGAUGAGUGGUUGUGAGAAGAACAAAACAAGAAAAUAUACUUAAUCAUACGAUAAUUGAGUGAUUUAAUUUUAGAUUCAAACCUCUAUUAACUGGAAACAAAUAUGUUGUAAGUAAAUCUUUAAUGUGGCAAUUGGUACGGGAAUAACAACUACACAACUUAUUUGCUAUGACCCAAAUCUCACCAAGUCAUGAUGGUACCUAACUUAACCCAUUAUGGGAAUCAACCAACACAAAUAUAACUUAAGCUGAAAAAUUAUCAUAUAAAUAAUAAGGUUAAAAUGCGAAAUUUAAUUACAAACUACCCCAAAUUUUGGUGUCACAAGUCAUGAGCUAUUAAAAGUUGGAACACAAUGCUGGUAUGAAAAAUAUAUUAUCUGUUUGAAAUAUAAACUCACGAACAAACUUGCAGCUCACAAUUGGAAUACUAAUAUAUCUUCAAUGCUCACUCUCAAACUUUACAAUAGCUCAGCUCCAAUGUGUUGCACAUAAAGUGUGAAAGUGUAGUAUUAGUACACUAGCACACUACUCACUAAGUGUCACUAACAAUGUGCUUCCAAUAAAAUAGUGGUGAGGGUUUAGUCAAAAGAUACUCUCUUUAUCAACUUGUACAGUUAAUAAUAAUAAUAAUAAUAAUAAUAAUAAUAAUAAUAAUAAUAAUAAUAAUAAUAAUAAUAAUAAUAAUAAUAAUAAUAAGAUAUGCACAAUCAAAGCAUAUAACAGAAUGUGCAUACAGGGCAUAUGACAUGAUGCAACCUAUCUCAACGACACAAGUACAACGAAUGUAACAAUGCAUCAAAUUAACAUAUAUAAUGGUAUGCUCAACUCAACAUUUAUAUGAGAUGCUCGCUAACAAGUCAUAUACAUGUGUGUGAGUUUUGGCUUGAUUCAGUGGCGUUCUUUGGCAUGUGGUGUCUAGUAAGGGGAUCAAGAUGAAUCCGAAGAAGAUUGAGGCAGUUCAAAGUUAGCCUAGAUCGUCUUUAGCUACAGAGAUUCAGAGCUUCUUAGGUUUAGCUGGAUAUUAUCGCCGCUUUGUGGAGGGUUUUUCGACUAUUAUUGCACCUUUGGCUAGAUUGAUCCAGAAUGGUGCUCCUUUCAGAUGGUCUGAGGAGUGUGAGAAGAGCUUUCAGAAGCUUAAGACUGCAUUGACUACAACUUAGUGUUAGUGUUACCUACAGGUUUAGGAUCUUACACCGUGUAUUAUGACGUGUCGCGUAUUGGGCUUGGCAUAGUGUUGAUGCUGGAUGAUAGGGUGAUUGCAUACGCAUCUCGGCAGUUGAAGGUUCAUGAGAAGAAUUAUCCUAUACAUGAUUUAGAGUUGGCAGCUAUUGUUCACGCGUUGAAAAUUUGGAGGCACUAUCUGUACGGUGUUCAUUGUGAGGUCGAUACCGACCAUCAGAGCCUCCAACAUCUGUUCAAGCAGAAGGAUCCUAAUUUGCAUCAGCGGAGAUGGUUAAAGUUGCUGAAAGACUAUGAUAUCACCAUAUUAUAUCAUCUGGGGAAGGCCAAUAUGGUGGCAGAUGCAUUGAGUAGGAAAGUUGAGAGUAUGGGCAGCUUGGCAUAUUUACCGGUAGUAGAGAGGCCACUAGCCAUGGACGUUCAGGCCUUGGCCAAUCAAUUUGUGAGAUUGGAUGUCUCGGAGUCUAGUCGAGUUCUUGCUGGCAUUGUGGCUCAGUCAUCAUUGUUGGAGCGUAUCAAGGCUUACUAGUUUGAUGAUCUUCACUUAUUGGUGUUGAAGGAUACAUUGCAGCGAGGUGGUGCUAAGGAGGUUGUGAUUGGUGAUGAUGGUGUUAUGCGGCUUAAAGGCCGAAUUUUUAUUCCAAAUAUUGAUGGGUUGGGAGAUUUCAUCCUUGAAGAGGCUCAAAGCUCGCGUUAUUCCAUUCACCCAGGUGUCACGAAGAUGUACCGUGACUUUAAACAACACUAUUGGUGGUAGAGAAUGAAGAAAGAUAUCGUUGCUUAUGUCUCUCGGUGUUUGAAUUGUCAACAGGUGAAGUAUGAACAAAAGAAAUCGGGAGGGUUGACUCAGAGAUUGGAGAUACUGGAGUGGAAGUGGGAGCGCAUUACCAUGGAUUUCGUUGUCGGACUCCCACGGAUUUUGAUGAAGUAUGAUGCAGUUUGGGUUAUAGCGGACCUGUUGAAUAAGUCCGCAUACUUCAUUCAAAUGGUGACUUCCUAUUCUGCAAUGCGGUUGGCUCAUAUUUACAUCUGGGAGAUUAUCCGCUUGCAUGGAAUGCUCAUUUCUAUCAUUUCUGACCAAGGCAUGCAGUUCACAUCACAAUUCUUGAGAGUAGUGUAGCGAGAGUUAGGCACACGGGUUGAGCUGAGUACAACAUUUCAUCCUCAGAUGGACGGGCAGUCCGAGUGCACUAUUCAGAUCUUAGAGGAUAUGUUACGUUCAUGUGUUAUGGAUUUCAAAGAUUCAUGGGAUCUGUUUCUUCCAUUAGCAGAGUUAGCCAACAACAAUAACUUUCAGUUGAGUAUCUAGAUGGUUUCUUAUGAGGCCUUAUAUGGGAGGAGAUGUCGUUCUCCAGUUGGUUGGUUUGAGCCUGAGGAGGCUAGAUUGUUGGGCACUGAUUUGGUCCGUGAUGCCUUGGAUAAGGUAAAGUUAAUUCAGGAACAGCUCCAUACAACACAGUCUAGGCAUAAGAUUUAUACUGAUAGGAAGGUUCGUGAUAUUGCAUAUAUGGUGGGCGAGAAGGUUCUUCUUAGAGUUUCACCUAUGAAUGGUGUGAUGAGAUUCGGGAAGAAGGGCAAGUUAAGCCCUCGGAAUAUUGGUCCCUUUGAGGUGCUUGAGAGAGUUGGAGAGGUGGCCUACAAGCUUGCAUUGCCACCUAGUCUAUCAGGUGUUCACCCAGUAUUUCAUGUUUCUAUGCUCCGGAAGUAUUAUGGCGAUCCGUCAUAUAUUUUGGACUUCAGAAUAAUACAACUAGAUGGGGAUUUCACUUAUGAUGUGGAGCCGGUGGCCAUUUUGGAUCGGCAGGUUCGAAAGUGAAGAUCAAAGACUAUAACUUCGGUGAAGGUUCAGUGGAGAGACCAGCCAAUUGAUGAGGUUGCUUGGGAGACCGAGCAGGGGAUGCGGAGCAGAUAUCCACACCUAUUUGAGACUCCAGGUAUGGUUUUAGACUCGUCCAAGGACGAACUUUUGUUUAAGAGGGGGAGAAUAUAACGACCCAGCCAGUCAUUUUGUGUAUUAUAGCCCCGUUCCCAGAUUUAUUGCUUCUUUUAUGUUUAUUUGUGGCUAUGUGAAUUUCCGAGGUGAUUGGAUUUGUUUCGGGGAAGUUUCAGAGUGAAUUGGGACACUUAGUCCCAAGGUUGGAAGCUUAAGUUGAAAGAAUUGAACGGAUUUUGACUUUUGUGUAGACGACUACGGAAUGAUAUUUUGAUGAUUUCAAUAGUUUCGUAUGGUAAUUUUGGACUUAAUCGUAUGUCCGAAUAUUGCUUUGGAAGUUCGUAGGUUAAUUUGAGGCUCUUUGGCGAAAGUUGGAAAGUUGAAGGUUUGGAAAGUUGAGAGGUUUGACCGAGAGUUGACUUAGUUGAUACCGAAAGUUGGAGUAGUUUCGUUGUGUUAUUUUUGACUUAUAUGCAAAAUUUGAGGUCAUUCAGAGUUGUUUUGAUAUGGUUCAGCAUUAGUUUUAGAAGUUGGAAGAUUAUUAGUUCAUUAGGCUUGAAUUGGGGUGCGAUUCAUGAUUUUGAUGUUAUUUCAUGUGAUUUGAGGCUUCGACUAAGUUCGUAUCGUAUUUUAGUACUUGUUGGUAUGUUUGGAUGCGGUCCCGGGGGCCUCGAGUGCGAUUCGGAUGAUGUGCGGACCAUGUUUGGACUUAGUAGAAAUGCUGAAGAAUUUCAAGUUUUGGUGCAAUCACACCUUCAAGGAUUUGGUCGCAGGUGCAAGAUCGCAGAAGCGGUCAGGCCAUCGCAGGUGCAGAAUAUACUUGGGCUGGGGAAAUGCGCAGGUGCAAAUGUUGGUCCGCAUCUGCGGGAAGUGGAGCGCAGAAGCGAAGUGGAGUAUGGUCAUGGGUUUACGCAGAUGUAGACGUUGAGGCACGUGUGCGCGUGCAUAGAAGCGCAGGUGUGACCACAGAAGCGGAUGUUAGAUAGAAGGUAUGGGACCGCAGAUACGACAACUUUUCCGCAGAAGCGGGAUCAUAGAUGCGGUUAAGUGACCGCAGGUGCGGUUUCACUGGCAGAGUUAUAUUCGAAGGGUUUCGUGACUUUUCUCAUUUGGAGAGUUUUGGGACUUCGCUAAGGGCACUUUUUGAGAGAGUUUUGGCUACAAUUGAAGAGGUAAAUGAAGUUUAAUCACUUUUGAUAUUAAAUAUUGAUUACCCAUUGAUUAUUACACCUAGUUUAUGUGAAUUUGAAGUGAAAAUUGAGGAUUGUAGACUAUGUUGUUGGAGAGUAAGAUUUGAGAAUUUGGGGGGGCGAUUUGUAGAUAGAAUUGGAUGAAAUUAGUAUGGUUGGACCCGUAAUUGAAUGAGUGUUCGGAAUUUGUGAAUUUUGUCGAGUUCCGGAGUACGAGCCUAGGGUUGACUUUUUGGGUUGACUUUCUGAUUUUGAUUAAAGAUUCUAGUUUUAUCAUUUGAGAUUGUUUCCUAUGGCUAUUAUUGAUGGUAUGAAAUUGUUGUGACUAGAUUCGAGUCGUUCGAAGGCCGAUUCGCGAGGCAAAGGCUUAUUGGAGUAUUGAUUUGCGCAUUUUGAGGUAAGUAACAUUUCUAAACUUGGAAUUGAGGGUAAUUAUCCCUGAAAAAUAUGUUAUUGGUAUUGUGUUGGGGUGACGCACAUGCCAGGUGAUUGGCGUGUAGGCAUGCACCGUGGUAAUCAUGAUCCGAGUUGACUUUUAUAUUGUGCUACUAUCAAAUCUUGUUUUAUCCGUAUAAUUCCUACUUGUUAGAGUAAUUGAGUUGUGAUUCAUAUUAGAAAUCAUAUUUAGGAUUUGUGCUUAAUUCGUUUAGACCUAAUGGGGCUAUUUCCGUUGUUUUGAGUUAUCUGCUUUAACUGUAAUUAUACACUCAGUCAUGGUUCAUUAUUUGCAUAUCAUAUCUCAGUCUCUGUUUAUCAUUCAUUGUUACAUCAUAUGUUAUCAUUGCUGGGCUGAGUGGUAUGAGAUUGUGAGCCCUUGAGACUUGAGAGGUUGAUGACUGAGGUGGGCCUUAGAGCCGUGUUGAGAGUAUUAUUGUGGAUCGGGAUGCACGCCGCAACAUGCCUUAUUGGCUUUUGAUUAGCGCUUGGGCAGGAUUCGCCCCUCCGGAUCUGACAUACCAGCAAUGAGCGUAUGCACAGUGAUAUAUAUACAUGUGCUUUAGUGAGAGGCAUUGAUGCCAGGCACCCGUACAGUGCUGAGUGAUUGUGUGUGUGAUGAAUGGACAUUUGAGGCAGAUAGAUUGAGUAUGUUGAGAGUGAGAGUACUUGGAAAUAUCACGGUGAAAUCAUUCAUUUGACACACAUACUUGACAUAUAGGCAUAGACAUGUACCAUUCCUCAUGCUAGCUGUAAUUGAUAUGUUCUUAUCAGUGUUGGGCUUUAAUUGUUAAACUUGAAAGCAUAUCUAAUUUUUUGUAAUAUGAACGACCCGAAUAUAAUAAUUACUUUGAGUUACUUAUUGUUAUUGUCAUCAUCAUAUCUGUAUAGUCAUUAUAUUGGAUUCUGACUGUCUUCUUCUAAGUUUGUCACUGCUUUCAUCCCAAGGUUAGUUCUGUUAUUUAUUGAGUACAUGAAGUCAGUUGUACUCAUACUACACUCUGCACUUUGUGUGCAGAUCCAAGUGCAUCUAGACGUGGUGAUUACUAGAGCCGUAUUGGAUACUAGUAUUUGGAGAUUUCGAGGUAGCUGCUAUGACAUUCGCGAGGAGUCAUAUUUCAAUUGUGAUAACUCAUAUUCAAAUUAGGCGACUAUUCAAAGCCUUUGGCGUUUGUAAAGUUUUUUCAGAAGUAUAUCUAACGUUUUUUUGUUCUUAAAAUAUUUAUAACACAUAAAAAUAAACCAACAUGUUUGCCA
rnacentral:lncRNA from 1 species